rnacentral:rRNA from 1 species
AUUAAAGUUGCUGCAGUUAAAAAGCUCGUAGUUGGAUUUCGGUUAAUAAAGAAUUUAUGGUCCACUUUUCAAAGUGAGAACUAAAAUCUUUAUUUCCUUCCUUUUGGAAUAACUCCCGAAAUUAUCUAAUAAUUAGGGUAUCAAGUAUUCCAAAUCUUUUACUGUGAAGAAAUUAGAGUGUUCAAAGCAGGCGUAACCAAGUCUUUGAAUAUAUUAGCAUGGGAUAAUGAAAUAGGACUUUGGUUCUACUUUCGUUGGUAUCUAGGGCUGAAGUAAUGAUUAAUAGGGAUAGUUGGGGUCACUAGUAUUUAAUUGUCAGAGGUGAAAUUCUAAGAUUUAUUAAAGACUAACUACUGCGAAAGCAUUUGACAAGGAUGUUUUCAUUAAUCAAGAACGAAAGUUGGGGGAUCGAAGAUGAUCAGAUACCGUCGUAGUCUCAACCAUAAACUAUGCCGACCAAGGAUCCGGGGGUGUUAAAUAUGGAUGACUCUCCGGGCACUUAUAGAGAAAUCAUAAGUAUUUGGGCUCCGGGGGGAGUAUGGUCGCAAGGCUGAAACUUAAAGGAAUUGACGGAAGGGCACCACAAGGAGUGGAACCUGCGGUUUAAUUUGACCCAACACGGGGAAACUUACCAGGUCCAGACACAGUGAGGAUUGACAGAUUGAGAGUUCUUUCUUGAUUCUGUGAGUGGUGGUGCAUGGCCGUUUCUAGUUGGUGGAGUGAUUUGUCUGGUUAAUUCCGUUAACGAACGAGACCUUAACCUAUUAAAUAGUUAAUCUUGAACAUGGUGUUAAAACCAUUUGUUUAAUUAACUUCUUAGAGGGACUCUUCACUGAGAGAGUGAAUGGAAGUUUGAGGCAAAAACAGGUCUGUGAUGCCCUUAGAUGUUCUGGGCCACACGCGCGUUACACUGACAUAUUCAACGAGCUUUAUCCUGACCCGAUGGGGUUGGGUAAUCUUUUAAAUGUAUGUCGUGCUGGGGAUAGAUCAUUGUAAUUAUUGGUCUUGAACGAGGAAUUCCUAGUAAGUGCGGGUCAUCAACUCGCGCUGAUUACGUCCCUGCCCUUUGUACACACCGCCCGUCGCUCCUACCGAUUGAAUGGUCCGGCGAGAACUCAGAAUGGUUGCUGUUUGUACCCAAAAGGUUUCAACUGUUUCCAGAUUUUGUUCAAACCUUACCAUUUAGAGGAAGGAGAAGUCGUAACAAGGUUUCCGUAGGUGAACCUGCGGAAG